AGUGGAAUUACUGGGUCAUAUACUGGAACUAUGUUAAACUUUGUAAAGAAACUGACAAACUAUUUUCUAAAGUGACUAUAACAUUUUACAUUCCCUCCAGCAAU
rnacentral:pre_miRNA from 1 species